rnacentral:rRNA from 1 species
UACAGAGGGUGCGAGCGUUAAUCGGAAUUACUGGGCGUAAAGCGCGCGUAGGCGGCUUUGCAAGCCGGAUGUGAAAUCCCCGGGCUUAACCUGGGAACUGCAUUCGGGACUGCAUUGCUAGAGUAUGGGAGAGGGAAGUGGAAUUUCAGGUGUAGCGGUGAAAUGCGUAGAUAUCUGAAGGAACACCGGUGGCGAAGGCGGCAUCCUGGACCGGCAUUGACGCUGAGGCGCGAAAGCCAGGGGAGCAAACGGG